AUUGAACGCUGGCGGCAGGCCUAACACAUGCAAGUCGAGCGGUAACAGGACUAGCUUGCUAGUUGCUGACAAGCGGCGGACGGGUGCGUAACACGUAGGAAUCUACCCAGUAGCGGGGGAUAGCCCGGAGAAAUCCGGAUUAAUACCGCAUACGCCCUACGGGGGAAAGCAGGGGAUCUUCGGACCUUGCACUAUUGGAUGAGCCUGCGUCGGAUUAGCUUGUUGGUGAGGUAAAGGCUCACCAAGGCGACGAUCCGUAGCUGGUCUGAGAGGAUGAUCAGCCACACUGGGACUGAGACACGGCCCAGACUCCUACGGGAGGCAGCAGUGGGGAAUAUUGCACAAUGGGCGAAAGCCUGAUGCAGCCAUGCCGCGUGUGUGAAGAAGGCUCUAGGGUUGUAAAGCACUUUCAGCGAGGAGGAAAGGUUGAUGAUUAAUACUCAUUAGCUGUGACGUUACUCGCAGAAGAAGCACCGGCUAACUCCGUGCCAGCAGCCGUGGUAAUACGGAGGGUGCAAGCGUUAAUCGGA
rnacentral:rRNA from 1 species